GUGGGGAAUAUUGGACAAUGGGCGAAAGCCUGAUCCAGCCAUGCCGCGUGUGUGAAGAAGGUCUUCGGAUUGUAAAGCACUUUAAGUUGGGAGGAAGGGCAGUAAGUUAAUACCUUGCUGUUUUGACGUUACCGACAGAAUAAGCACCGGCUAACUUCGUGCCAGCAGCCGCGGUAAUACGAAGGGUGCAAGCGUUAAUCGGAAUUACUGGGCGUAAAGCGCGCGUAGGUGGUUCAGCAAGUUGGAGGUGAAAUCCCCGGGCUCAACCUGGGAACUGACUCCAAAACUACUGAGCUAGAGUACGGUAGAGGGUAGUGGAAUUUCCUGUGUAGCGGUGAAAUGCGUAGAUAUAGGAAGGAACACCAGUGGCGAAGGCGACUACCUGGACUGAUACUGACACUGAGGUGCGAAAGCGUGGGGAUCAAACAGGAUUAGAAACCCCGGUAGUCC
rnacentral:rRNA from 1 species